rnacentral:rRNA from 1 species
CAGUAGCCGCGGUAAUACGUAGGGUGCAAGCGUUAAUCGGAAUUACUGGGCGUAAAGCGUGCGCAGGCGGUUAUAUAAGACAGAUGUGAAAUCCCCGGGCUCAACCUGGGAACUGCAUUUGUGACUGUAUAGCUAGAGUACGGCAGAGGGGGAUGGAAUUCCGCAUGUAGCAGUGAAAUGCGUAGAUAUGCGGAGGAACACCGAUGGCGAAGGCAAUCCCCUGGGCCUGUACUGACGCUCAUGCACGAAAGCGUGGGGAGCAAACAGGAUUAGAUACCCGAGUAGUCCCUGUCUCUUAUAC